CGCGUAGGCGGCUUGACAAGUCACUUGUGAAAUCUCCGGGCUUAACUCGGAACGGCCAAGUGAAACUGUCAUGCUAGAGUGCAGAAGGGGCAAUCGGAAUUCUUGGUGUAGCGGUGAAAUGCGUAGAUAUCAAGAGGAACACCUGAGGUGAAGACGGGUUGCUGGGCUGACACUGACGCUGAGGCGCGAAAGCCAGGGAGCAAACG
rnacentral:rRNA from 1 species